CACGUAGGGUGCGAGCGUUGUCCGGAUUUAUUGGGCGUAAAGAGCUCGUAGGUGGUUCGGUAAGUCGGAUGUGAAAUCUCCAGGCUCAACCUGGAGGGGUCAUUCGAUACUGCCGUGACUAGAGUACAGAAGGGGCAACUGGAAUUCUCGGUGUAGCGGUGAAAUGCGUAGAUAUCGAGAGGAACACCGGUGGCGAAGGCGGCGCUCUGGACCGAGACUGACGCUGAGGCGCGAAAGCGUGGGGAGCAAACAGG
rnacentral:rRNA from 1 species